GAAAUGCGAUAAUUAAUGUGAAUUGCAGAAUUCAGUGAAUCAUCGAGUCUUUGAACGCACAUUGCGCCCCCUGGUAUUCCGGGGGGCAUGCCUGUCCGAGCGUCAUUGCUGCCCUCAAGCACGGCUUGUGGGUUGGGCUUCCGUCCCUGGCAACGGGGACGGGCCCAAAAGGCAGUGGCGGCACCAUGUCUGGUCCUCGAGCGUAUGGGGCUUUGUCACCCGCUCCCGUAGGUCCAGCUGGCAGCUAGCCUCGCAACCCAUCUUUUUAACCAGGUUGACCUCGGAUCAGGUAGGGAUACCCGCUGAACUUAAGC
rnacentral:misc_RNA from 1 species